CAAUAGCGUAUAUUAAAGUUGUUGCAGUUAAAAAGCUCGUAGUUGGAUUUCUGGUGGGAGCGAUCGGUCUGGCGCUUAGCGCGAGUACUUGCAUCGUCUCCGGCCAUCCUUGGGGAGAGUCUGUCUGGCAUUAGGUUGUCGGGCAGAGGAUCCUCAUCGUUUACUGUGAAAAAAUUAGAGUGUUCAAAGCAGGCUUAUGCCGUUGAAUAUAUUAGCAUGGAAGAAUAAGAUAGGACUUUGGUACUAUUUUGUUGGUUUGCGCACCAAAGUAAUGAUUAAUAGGGACAGUUGGGGGUAUUCGUAUUCCGUUGUCAGAGGUGAAAUUCUUGGAUUUACGGAAGACGAACUACUGCGAAAGCAUUUACCAAGGAUGUUUUCAUUAA
rnacentral:rRNA from 1 species